GACGAACGCUGGCGGCGUGCUUAACACAUGCAAGUCGAACGGAAAGGCCCUGCUUUUGUGGGGUGCUCGAGUGGCGAACGGGUGAGUAACACGUGAGUAACCUGCCCUUGACUUUGGGAUAACUUCAGGAAACUGGGGCUAAUACCGGAUAGGAGCUCCUGCUGCACGGUGGGGGUUGGAAAGUUUCGGCGGUUGGGGAUGGACUCGCGGCUUAUCAGCUUGUUGGUGGGGUAGUGGCUUACCAAGGCUUUGACGGGUAGCCGGCCUGAGAGGGUGACCGGCCAAAUGGGGACGGGGAAACGGCCCAGACCCCCACGGGGGGAAGGGGGGGGGAAAUUUGCAAAAGGGGCGGAAGCCGGAGGCAGCAACGCCGGGUGGGGGAGGACGGCCUUCGGGUUGGAAACCGUUUUCGCCUGUGACGAAGGGUGGGGGAGGGAAAUGGGUAAAGAAGCACCGGCUAACUACGU
rnacentral:rRNA from 1 species